rnacentral:rRNA from 1 species
UACGUAGGUGACAAGCGUUGUCCGGAUUUACUGGGCGUAAAGAGCGCGCAGGCGGUCGUUCAAGUCGAGUGUGAAAGCCCCCGGCUCAACUGGGGAGGGUCAUUCGAUACUGAUCGACUCGAAGGCAGGAGAGGGUAGUGGAAUUCCCGGUGUAGUGGUGAAAUGCGUAGAUAUCGGGAGGAACACCAGUGGCGAAGGCGACUACCUGGCCUGUUCUUGACGCUGAGGCGCGAAAGCUAGGGGGAGCAAACGGGG